GGAAGACCAGAGGGAACGGUGCUAAAAUCAGAUCUAUUAUCUGCAUUUCUAUGCAACAACACCUGACAUGCCCCCUGGACAGAGGAUAUCUGUUGCUGGGACACAGAGGAUAUUUACUGGACGGAGACUCGGAGAAGUCACAGCUGGACGUGUUUGAAAGCGUCUGGACAAGCAGCUAACCAAAGAAGAAGUCGGGUUACUUAUUGGCCCUCAUCAUGCGUUUCCUGAUCUUCUCGGUGUAGGGAGAGACGCUGUUUGUCCAUAACCCAGAUCUGGUUCUGCACACACAGAGGGGGGAAACCAGCCUCAGCAUUAAGAAAACAGCAACGUCUGGGAAAAUACCUCGGCUGUGUGUGGUCAGUGAUGACACAUGUCAGUCCUGCAGAUAAGUGUUUGUUUCCAAUAAGUGAUGCAUAAAGACAGGAGUCUGCACUCACAGUCGAGACAGAGCUUCGUUCUUCUGAAAGAGCAGCUCUGGAAGCUGGCUGAGACGAUUUCUGUUAAGACGCCUGAAGGAACAAAGAGACAUGAAACGGAAAUAAUCUUUCCAGCUCCUUCAGCUCAUCAAAGGCUCCUCUUUCAAUGCUACUGAUCUUGUUCUCCAUCAGGUGGCUGAAAAAAG